GCCCUAGUAGCUCAGCGCCAGAGCGCCG
rnacentral:tRNA from 2 species